rnacentral:tRNA from 1 species
AUUUUCAUAGUUUAAAAAGAACAAAGGUUUGUGGUGCCUUAGGUGUAAAUCAUUACUGGAGAUC